UACGUAGGAGGCGAGCGUUGUCCGGAGUUACUGGGCGUAAAGGGUGCGCAGGCGGCCAUUGAAGUUUGCGGUGAAAUCUCCCGGCUUACCUGGGAGGGUGCCGUGAAAACUGGAUGGCUUGAGGCUCGGGGAGGGGCGUGGAAUUCCGGGUGGAGCGGUGAAAUGCGUAGAUAUCAGGAGGAACACCUGUGGUGUAGACAGCUUACUGGACCAUUUCUGACGCUGAGACACGAAAGCGUGGGUAGCAAACAGG
rnacentral:rRNA from 1 species